rnacentral:rRNA from 1 species
CUACGGGAUGCUGCAGUAGGGAAUAUUGCGCAAUGGGCGAAAGCCUGACGCAGCCAUGCCGCGUGAGUGAUGAAGGCCUUCGGGUCGUAAAGCUCUUUUCUGAGGGAAGAACAUCCAGAGGAGGAAAUGUCUCUGGUCUGACGGUACCUCAGGAAUAAGGAACGGCUAACUCCGUGCCAGCAGCCGCGGUAAUACGGAGGUUCCAAGCGUUGUUCGGAAUUACUGGGCGUAAAGGGAGCGCAGGCGGACAGGUCAGUGGAAAGUGGAAUCCCGGGGCUUAACCUCGGACGUGCUUUCCAUACUGCCUGACUUGAGUUCGUGAGAGGAAGGCGGAAUUCAGGGUGUAGCGGUGAAAUGCUUAGAUAUCCUGAGGAACACCAGUGGCGAAAGCGGCCUUCUGGCACGAAACUGACGCUGAGGCUCGAAAGCGUGGGUAGCGAACGGGAUUAGAUACCCCUGUAGUC